CCCAUGAAGUUCCAUAACGAACAUGCGGAAUACAGCCGCUUGCACCCUCACAAACGAGACUAAUUCCAUUCAUUGAAUAAGUAUAGACAACGUGGCCAUAUGGGCCUAAACUCCAUUAAUGAUAUUACUCAUAAUUUAGUUACGACCGAAUCACGAGACAGUUACGUUGAUGCUAUAAAUAAUAUCCAGAGUGCCUGGCUGAUAAACGUCAAAACGUAAUAAUCAAUACGGGAAUGUUGUAGUCCUGUGGAAAAUCAGUUCUCCCGGUGGCCUUAACAUGAAACAUCUGCCAGGACCCUGGGAAGGAAGAGAGCUUUUGUAGAGUUCGUCAGUUGCUUGAAGGAAACUAAACGACCUUUGUCGAGUGAAGAUGUGAGGGAGUUGAUCAGGUACACGUUUCAAGGAGAAGAUUUGAUGUACAAAGGAAGUGGAUCCUGAUUUGAAAGACGGAUAAUGACAGUGUUUUUGUGUGUGCGGGCCUUUUGCUUGAAUAAUGCGGGAUAGAUUUGUGUUAGGAUGUUUUUGUAAGUACUCUGUAGUAAACGAUUCUAUAACUGAA